CCUACGGGCGGCAGCAGUGGGGAAUAUUGGACAAUGGGGGGAACCCUGAUCCAGCCAUGCCGCGUGUGUGAAGAAGGCCCUCGGGUUGUAAAGCACUUUCAGUGAGGAAGAACGCCUGGUGGUUAAUACCCAUCAGGAAAGACAUCACUCACAGAAGAAGCACCGGCUAACUCCGUGCCAGCAGCCGCGGUAAUACGGAGGGUGCGAGCGUUAAUCGGAAUUACUGGGCGUAAAGCGCGCGUAGGUGGCUUGAUAAGCCGGUUGUGAAAGCCCCGGGCUCAACCUGGGAACGGCAUCCGGAACUGUCAAGCUAGAGUGCAGGAGAGGAAGGUGGAAUUCCCGGUGUAGCGGUGAAAUGCGUAGAGAUCGGGAGGAAUACCAGUGGCGAAGGCGGCCUUCUGGACUGACACUGACACUGAGGUGCGAAAGCGUGGGUAGCAAACAGGAUUAGAUACCCUGGUAGUC
rnacentral:rRNA from 1 species